AUACGGAGGGUGCAAGCGUUACUCGGAAUCACUGGGCGUAAAGCGCGCGUAGGCGGAUUGAUCAGUCAGGGGUGAAAUCCCGAGGCUUAACUUCGGAACUGCCUCUGAUACUGUCAAUCUUGAGUUCGUGAGAGGUGAGUGGAAUUCCUAGUGUAGAGGUGAAAUUCGUAGAUAUUAGGAAGAACACCAGUGGCGAAGGCGGCUCACUGGCUCGAUACUGACGCUGAGGUGCGAAAGCGUGGGGAGCAAACAGGAGUAGAUACCCUAGUAGUCC
rnacentral:rRNA from 1 species